GGGGGCGCCUGGCUUCGACGUGGAUUGCGAAGUUCAAGGGGCAUGUCGAGGAUGUAGCUCACCUCGUAAAUCACGCUGCAACUAAGUAGUCGCAAACGACUCAAUGCUUGCUAGCGUCGCUGCAUAAGCGUAACUAGUAGGUUACCCGUGUUCCGCACUAAAACCGGAGCACCCAUUGCCCGAGUGUGUUCAUGCAUUCGGAACCAGUGGUCAUACUCAUGAAAUCGCGUACUGGUGUGUUUCAGGCCAUUAUGUUAAAAAACUCUGGGACUCGUCAUUUGUUUUCCCUGCCCAUCGGGUAGCAAAUGAUUAAGACAAAGAUGAGGCUACACAUGUAGAACCAAGAGCAGAGAAUUUGCGGACGCGGGUUCGAUUCCCGCCGCCUCCACCA
rnacentral:tmRNA from 1 species